AGUGAACGCUGGCGGUAGGCCUAACACAUGCAGGUCGAACGGCAGCACAGUAAGAGCUUGCUCUUACGGGUGGCGAGUGGCGGACGGGUGAGGAAUACAUCGGAAUCUACUUUUUCGUGGGGGAUAACGUAGGGAAACUUACGCUAAUACCGCAUACGACCUACGGGUGAAAGCAGUGGAUCUUCGGACCUUGCGCGACUGAAUGAGCCGAUGUCGGAUUAGCUUGUUGGCGGGGUAAAGGCCCACCAAGGCGACGAUCCGUAGCUGGUCUGAGAGGAUGAUCAGCCACACUGGAACUGAGACACGGUCCAGACUCCUACGGGAGGCAGCAGUGGGGAAUAUUGGACAAUGGGCGAAAGCCUGAUCCAGCCAUACCGCGUGGGUGAAGAAGGCCUUCGGGUUGUAAAGCCCUUUUGUUGGGAAAGAAAAGCAGCAGGUUAAUACCCCGCUGUUCUGACGGUACCCAAAGAAUAAGCACCGGCUAACUUCGUG
rnacentral:rRNA from 1 species